rnacentral:rRNA from 1 species
AUAGGGCGUUUAGUAUUUGGUCGUAGACCCGAAACCAGGUGAUCUACCCUUGGUCAGGUUGAAGUUCAGGUAACACUGAAUGGAGGACCGAACCGACUUACGUUGAAAAGUGAGCGGAUGAACUGAGGGUAGCGGAGAAAUUCCAAUCGAACCUGGAGAUAGCUGGUUCUCUCCGAAAUAGCUUUAGGGCUAGCCUCAAGUGAUGAUUAUUGGAGGUAGAGCACUGUUUGGACGAGGGGCCCCUCUCGGGUUACCGAAUUCAGACAAACUCCGAAUGCCAAUUAAUUUAACUUGGGAGUCAGAACAUGGGUGAUAAGGUCCGUGUUCGAAAGGGAAACAGCCCAGACCACCAGCUAAGGUCCCAAAAUAUAUGUUAAGUGGAAAAGGAUGUGGCGUUGCCCAGACAACUAGGAUGUUGGCUUAGAAGCAGCCAUCAUUUAAAGAGUGCGUAAUAGCUCACUAGUCGAGUGACACUGCGCCGAAAAUGUACCGGGGCUAAACAUAUUACCGAAGCUGUGGAUUGUCCUUUGGACAAUGGUAGGAGAGCGUUCUAAGGGCGUUGAAGCAUGAUCGUAAGGACAUGUGGAGCGCUUAGAAGUGAGAAUGCCGGUGUGAGUAGCGAAAGACGGGUGAGAAUCCCGUCCACCGAUUGACUAAGGUUUCCAGAGGAAGGCUCGUCCGCUCUGGGUUAGUCGGGUCCUAAGCUGAGGCCGACAGGCGUAGGCGAUGGAUAACAGGUUGAUAUUCCUGUACCACCUAUAAUCGUUUUAAUCGAUGGGGGGACGCAGUAGGAUAGGCGAAGCGUGCGAUUGGAUUGCACGUCUAAGCAGUAAGGCUGAGUAUUAGGCAAAUCCGGUACUCGUUAAGGCUGAGCUGUGAUGGGGAGAAGACAUUGAGUCUUCGAGUCGUUGAUUUCACACUGCCGAGAAAAGCCUCUAGAUAGAAAAUAGGUGCCCGUACCGCAAACCGACACAGGUAGUCAAGAUGAGAAUUCUAAGGUGAGCGAGCGAACUCUCGUUAAGGAACUCGGCAAAAUGACCCCGUAACUUCGGGAGAAGGGGUGCUCUUUAGGGUUAACGCCCAGAAGAGCCGCAGUGAAUAGGCCCAAGCGACUGUUUAUCAAAAACACAGGUCUCUGCUAAACCGUAAGGUGAUGUAUAGGGGCUGACGCCUGCCCGGUGCUGGAAGGUUAAGAGGAGUGGUUAGCUUCUGCGAAGCUACGAAUCGAAGCCCCAGUAAACGGCGGCCGUAACUAUAACGGUCCUAAGGUAGCGAAAUUCCUUGUCGGGUAAGUUCCGACCCGCACGAAAGGCGUAACGAUUUGGGCACUGUCUCAACGAGAGACUCGGUGAAAUCAUAGUACCUGUGAAGAUGCAGGUUACCCGCGACAGGACGGAAAGACCCCGUGGAGCUUUACUGUAGCCUGAUAUUGAAAUUCGGCACAGCUUGUACAGGAUAGGUAGGAGCCUUUGAAACGUGAGCGCUAGCUUACGUGGAGGCGCUGGUGGGAUACUACCCUAGCUGUGUUGGCUUUCUAACCCGCACCACUUAUCGUGGUGGGAGACAGUGUCAGGCGGGCAGUUUGACUGGGGCGGUCGCCUCCUAAAAGGUAACGGAGGCGCUCAAAGGUUCCCUCAGAAUGGUUGGAAAUCAUUCAUAGAGUGUAAAGGCAUAAGGGAGCUUGACUGCGAGACCUACAAGUCGAGCAGGGUCGAAAGACGGACUUAGUGAUCCGGUGGUUCCGCAUGGAAGGGCCAUCGCUCAACGGAUAAAAGCUACCCCGGGGAUAACAGGCUUAUCUCCCCCAAGAGUUCACAUCGACGGGGAGGUUUGGCACCUCGAUGUCGGCUCAUCGCAUCCUGGGGCUGUAGUCGGUCCCAAGGGUUGGGCUGUUCGCCCAUUAAAGCGGUACGCGAGCUGGGUUCAGAACGUCGUGAGACAGUUCGGUCCCUAUCCGUCGUGGGCGUAGGAAAUUUGAGAGGAGCUGUCCUUAGUACGAGAGGACCGGGAUGGACAUACCUCUGGUGUACCAGUUGUCGUGCCAACGGCAUAGCUGGGUAGCUAUGUGUGGACGGGAUAAGUGCUGAAAGCAUCUAAGCAUGAAGCCCCCCUCAAGAUGAGAUUUCCCAACUUCGGUUAUAAGAUCCCUCAAAGAUGAUGAGGUUAAUAGGUUCGAGGUGGAAGCAUGGUGACAUGUGGAGCUGACGAAUACUAAUCGAUCGAAGACUUAAUCAA